UACGUAGGGGGCGAGCGUUGUCCGGAUUUACUGGGCGUAAAGAGCGCGCAGGCGGUCGAUCAAGUCGAGUGUGAAAGCCCCCGGCUCAACUGGGGAGGGUCAUUCGAUACUGAUCGACUCGAAGGCAGGAGAGGGUAGUGGAAUUCCCGGUGUAGUGGUGAAAUGCGUAGAUAUCGAGAGGAACACCAGUGGCGAAGGCGAGUCUCUGGACGACACCUGACACUGAGGCACGAAAGCUAGGGGAGCAAACAGG
rnacentral:rRNA from 1 species